UACGUAGGGUGCGAGCGUUUGUCCGGAAUUAUUGGGCGUAAAGGGCUCGUAGGCGGUCUGUUGCGUCGGGAGUGAAAACUCAGGGCUUAACCCUGAGCCUGCUUCCGAUACGGGCAGACUAGAGGUAUGCAGGGGAGAACGGAAUUCCUGGUGUAGCGGUGAAAUGCGCAGAUAUCAGGAGGAACACCGGUGGCGAAGGCGGUUCUCUGGGCAUUACCUGACGCUGAGGAGCGAAAGUGUGGGAGGCGAACAGG
rnacentral:rRNA from 1 species